rnacentral:rRNA from 1 species
AAAAAGUUUUUGAAAAAACAGGGACCAAACAUAGCGAGAGUACAGUAUGGCAGGGUGAAUUUUCGGUGUAGCGGUGAAAUGCAUAGAGAUUUAAAGAACUUCAUCAGCAAAAGUACUUAGCUAGGCUGAAACUGAAACUGGGAGACGAAAGUUAGGGAGCAAGUGGGAUUAGAUACCUCAAUAGUUCUAAUCGUAAACGAUGAAUACAAGGCGUGGUGUUGUACAAGUCGUUUCUGAUUCACUUUAAUGUAAACU